GUAUUUAAAUGCGUUUAUAGCAAUAAGACAUUCUAGACUUUAAGCGUGUAUAUAAAAACGUAGAGCCCGUCCCCUUCGCUACAAAACAUCCACCUAAUGAAAGGCUUCUGAAUCGUAUUGAAAGAUCAGAGACUACUACAAGUGUGCACAGGUGUGAGUGGAUGAGCAACGAGUGUGCACAUGCCCCGAGAGGCCAGCGACAACCCAUGUCAGAACUCGAUAAUGAUCCUUCCGCAGGUUCACCUACGGAAA
rnacentral:misc_RNA from 1 species